rnacentral:rRNA from 1 species
UACGUAGGGUCCGAGCGUUGUCCGGAAUCACUGGGCGUAAAGCACACGUAGGCGGAUUGUUAAGUCAGGGGUGAAAGCCUGGAGCUCAACUCCAGAACUGCCCUUGAUACUGGCAAUCUCGAGUCCGGAAGAGGUAAGUGGAACUCCGAGUGUAGAGGUGAAAUUCGUAGAUAUUCGGAAGAACACCAGUGGCGAAGGCGGCUUACUGGUCCGGUACUGACGCUGAGGUGCGAAAGCGUGGGGAGCAAACAGG